rnacentral:lncRNA from 1 species
CUCACACGGGGAAAAGAAUCCCCUCUGGCUGCUACACAGGGCCCAAGGUAGGGGUCCCCAGAAUUGUGAGGAGGAAUAAUUUUCACAUCUUGGAGAGCAGAUCCCUUAGGGAAAAUAUUGGCUGAGAGACGGUGACCGGCAGUGAGGCUCCUGAGGAAGAGGAAAUCGGAUUCUGGCAGAUCGAGAAGCUAAGGCUCCAAGAGGUUGACACUUGGCCAAGUUGAGAUUGUACGAGGGCAGCAGGGCCCACACACAGGUACCUGCUUGAUACAGCUCUCAAGCUGAACGUCAGGCAGCCUUCCUUGGGUCUAAAGGCCUGCACGCUGUGGGGAAGUCUGAAUGCCUCCUCUGGCACUCCCUUCCCUGUCCUUCCUAAAGGAACGUGCAGCCCCACACUGAGAUUCUGAGCCUUGGCGCAGCAGCACGAAUGGGCACGCGAGAGCGCCUGAGCGGAGAACAGAGAGAGAUAAGUCGAAGUG